AUUGAACGCUGGCGGCGUGGAUUAGGCAUGCAAGUCGUACGAGAAUCGUAGCAAUACGAGGAAAGUGGCGGAAGGGAGAGGAUUACGUGGGAAUCUACCCUCAGAACUGGGAUAGCGGCGGGAAACUGCCGGUAAUACCAGAUAAUGUCUGUGGACCAAAGGUGUGAUUCCGUCUGGGGAUGAGCCCACGUCCUAUUAGCUAGUUGGCAGGGUAAUGGCCUACCAAGGCAAUGAUGGGUAGCGGGUGUGAGAGCAUGACCCGCCUCACUGGGACUGAGAACUGCCCAGACACCUACGGAUGGCUGCAGUCGAGAAUCUUCGGCAAUGAGCGCAAGCUUGACCGAGCGACGCCGCGUGCGGGAUGAAGGCCUUCGGGUUGUAAACCGCUGUCGUAGGGGAGCAAGAGAUGAGGGUACUCCCUCUGAUUUGAGCGAUCCUAGGAGGAAGGACGGGCUAAGUUCGUGCCAGCCGCCGCUGUAACAC
rnacentral:rRNA from 1 species